GUGAGGAAUAUUGGUCAAUGGUCGGAAGACUGAACCAGCCAUGCCGCGUGCAGGAAGACGGUCCUAUGGAUUGUAAACUGCUUUUAUACGGGGAUAAACCUCCUUACGUGUAGGGAGCUGAAGGUACCGAAAGAAUAAGCACCGGCUAACUCCGUGCCAGCAGCCGCGGUAAUACGGAGGGUGCAAGCGUUAUCCGGAAUCAUUGGGUUUAAAGGGUCCGCAGGCGGGAUUGUAAGUCAGUGGUGAAAUCCGGCAGCUCAACUGUCGCACUGCCAUUGAUACUGCAGUCCUUGAAUUCAAUUGGAGUGGGCGGAAUAUGUCAUGUAGCGGUGAAAUGCUUAGAUAUGACAUAGAACACCGAUAGCGAAGGCAGCUCACUAAGUCUGAAUUGACGCUCAUGGACGAAAGCGCGGGUAGCAAACAGGAUUAGAAACCCGUGUAGUCC
rnacentral:rRNA from 1 species